rnacentral:lncRNA from 1 species
GCGAGUUGCCGCAUAGCAUGGCUGCCGAUGAGUGGUGCAGGUCCGUGCCUGGGAACUGAGUCUGGGAUGCCGGAGUGGAGCAUGCUGACUUAACCACUAGGGCCCUGACAACCUCCAUUCUACUUUCUGUAUCUAUGAAUUUGAUUACUCGAGAUACUUCAUCUAAGUGGGAUCACACAGUAUUUUUUUUGUGACUGGCUUAUUUUACUUAGCAUAAUGUUCUCAAGGUUUGUCCAUGUUGUAGCAUGUGCCAGAAUUUCUUUUCUUUUUAAGGCUGAAUAAUAUUCCAUUGUUUGUGUGUUUUGUUGAUCCAUUCAUCAGUUGAUUCAUACUUGGGUUGCUUCCACCUUUUGGCUACUGUGAAUAAUGCUGCUUUGAACAUGAGUGUACAAAUAUCUCUUCGAGACCCAGAGGUGGAAUUGCUAGAUCGUAUAAUAAUUCUAUUUUUAAUUAUUUGAGGAACUGCCAUACUGUUUUCCAUAGCAACUUAACCAUUUUACAUUCCCAUCAACAGUUUACAGGGUUUCAAUUUCUCUACACCCUUGCCAACACGUUUUUUUUAAUAGUAGCCACCGCUGUGAUUUUGAUUUUGAUUUCCUUAAUGAUUAGUGAUGUUGAGCAUCUUUUCAUGUGCUUGUUGGCCAUUUGUAUAUCAUCUUUGGAGAAAUGCCUAUUCAAACCUUUGCCCAUUUUUUUAAUUGAGGUUUCUUUUUUGUUGUUGUUAUUGAGUUGUAGGAGUUCUUUAUAUAUUCUAAAUAUUGACCCUUUAUCAGAUAUAUGAUUUGCCAAUAAUUUCUCUCAUGUUGUAGGGUUUUUUACUCUGUUGAUUGUGUCCUUUGGUGCACAGAAGUUUUUAAUUUUGAUGUAGUACAAUUUACCUAGUUUUACUUUUGUUACCUGUGCUUUUAGUGUCAUAUCCAAGAAAUAAUUGCCAAAUCCAAUGUCAUGAAGCUUUUCUCCUAUGAUUUCUUCUAAGAGUUUUAUCUCUUAUGUUUAGGGCUUUGAUUUGUUUUGAGUUAAUUUUUGUUUAUGCUGUAAUGUAACGGUCCAACUUCCUUCUUUUGUAUAUGGAUAUCCAAUUUUCCCAAUACCAUUUGUUGAACUUCCCAUUAUUUCUUAAAUGGCAUUAUUUGACUCUGUAACCUACAAGACAUUAAAAUACAAAAAGCACUUAAGGUGCAUUAAAAUCUAUGAACCAGUAAGAAUCAUGGUGAUGCAACUGUAAGCCAAAUGAAUUUCUUCUGAGGAGAAAAGGCUGUGGCCAGCCUGUGAGGCAAAAGUACUAAGCAGGAAAUGAAACUAUA